rnacentral:misc_RNA from 1 species
AAGUCGUAACAAGGUUUCCGUAGGUGAACCUGCGGAAGGAUCAUUAUUGAAUAUUCUUGAUGGGUUGUAGCUGGCUCUUAGGGGCAUGUGCACACUUGUCUUGACUUUAUUCAUCCACCUGUGCACCCUUUGUAGUCUUGGGGGUUGAGAGCAGUCGACUAUCGGAUGGCUAUGGCUUUUCCGGACAUGAGGAUUGCUGAGUGCGCAAGCAUACAGCUCUUCUCAAAUGGCUUGCAAAACCUCUCCCUCGAGUACUAUGUAUUCAUAUACCACAUAGUAUGUUGAAGAAUGUGAUCAAUGGGCCUAUGUGCCUUUAACAAUCAUAUACAA